CUAACAAGCAAAUAAGACACUUCAUCUCUUUUCCUUCUUGUAAAUCAUUUUUGUUGUGUAUUUAUCAUUUCCUGAGCACCAUAUAAAUAAUGUAAUGGAUUGUGUGAUUUCAUGGCUCUUUAAAGACUAACAUUAUUAUAGUGUCUGCAGUUGCUUGCAUGUGCAUCCAUUUCAACAGAUGCCUUAAGCAAGGGCAGGAGUCCCUUAUUUCUUUGACUGACUGAUCUGCAGAAGUAGUGUAGAGAUUUUCUUAUCUAUUAAACAAGAAUCCACACCCAAACAGCCUUUUAAGGAGCCAACCUGCUAAUGCUACAUCACUUCCUAACAGGGGUCCCCAAACUCUUAAGCUCAUCCAACCCUUUAUGAAGCUUCAGAUUGUUCCACACUCAAACAUUAUAUUUAAUAAAUAAUACUUUAACUAAUAUGACUACAAAUAAUAAUUUAAAAAGUCUGGCUAGUGGAUGUGGCAGUGCCUGGAGAAGGCAGAAUAGAAGAGAAAGAACUGGAGAAGAUAACAAAAUACAAACACCUGCAAACAGAACUAGAACAACUGGAAAAAGAAAGCAAAGCUAGUACCAAUACCAAUAGGUGCCACGGGUGCAACUCCAAAACAACUAUAGCAUCACUUGUACACCAUCAGCAUUGACAAAUUCAAUUGCAGCUUUACUGGGAACAGCUUAUAUUCUCAGAUGAUUCAUCUUUAACACGAUAAAACACCCACAUCUGCCUCUCCCAGGUCCUUGGGAAGGGCUCCGAUAAGUGGAUAAAAAUGCCAUAUCCAGUCUGAACAUCUGGCUGACUUCUGUGAUGAACCAUCAUAGUAAGACAACUCAAGGCUGCUCUAGCUAGUGGCGGACCAUCCAACCCUGGGUAACAGUUUCGUUUCUAGCCACCUUUUUUCAGGAUUAGGGACUGGAGUUUUACAGAGCCUCCCCCCCAAAUAACUGACCCAAUGACGUCUCAUCACUUAUCGAUCAAUUACUGAUCCCCUCUCUUUUGUCUCCCGGCCUUUUAAUGAUGCUUGGAGAUCGAUACUGAUCACUGGGGAGCCCUGUAAUCUGUCACUACUUUCAUCCUUCAAGGAUAGGACUGGUGGGGAACCCGCGAAAGAGUCGCCUGAAUUUUCUGUAUUUGCCUUUAACCUUCUCCAGCGCCGCCUCCAGUCAGACAAAACAGGAAGCCCUUUUCUCCCUUGCCUCCCUUCCUCCAGUCAAGGCAUUCGCUUAGAGCGGUCCCGACCCAGCCCGCCUUCUUCCUGGAAGGAGAAGCAGCCCAAGGGAGCCUCCUCUACUUUUAUUAGUUCUUGAGCCAGAAGCGCGAACCCGGCCUUCCGCCGAAGGCGAGUUGAGCGGAUUGGAGGACGCCGGUCACGUGCUCCCUCACUUGGUUGGCGUCAUUCGUCUCUGCGGCGCGGAGAGGGCGUGACGAAGGGACGCGGCUGCCCGGCCGGCCCGGGGUCUUUCGUCACAUUUUUCAGCCCGCUGCGCCGCAAGUCGCUCAGGUCUGCCUGGUUUGUAACGUGCACGUGAGGAGAAGCGAUGUCGCCGCCGGCGGGAUGAAGCCAGCGCGGGUCAGUGAAUUGGCGGGGAUUGGUCAGGAGUAGCUCAGGCAGAACAGUUUGAAGACCUGCUCCAGAAUGCUACUUAUACAGAGAAAACCUUGUUUUGUAUCAUAUAGGAAAGGAGAAGAGAAUACCUAUGUGAGAACACAACAAGCAGCAUGGCGGAUUCAGAAGAUCCUUUUCUUAACAAGGCAAAGGCAGAUCAAACUGGUAACUGCAUUGUAAAAGUUAACUCAGGCAAACAUUACUUCUGUGGUUAUUGUGCAGCCAUUACAAAUGUUGCAGUAACUUUCCCAAUCCAGAAAGUCCUCUUUCGUCAACAGCUCUAUGGGGUACGAACCAGAGACGCAAUAUGUCAGCUACAGAAAGAUGGAAUCAGAAAUUUGUACCGAGGUAUCCUUCCUCCGCUCAUGCAGAAGAGCACAACCUUAGCGUUGAUGUUCGGCCUAUAUGAAGACUUGUCUUCCGUGCUCCUCAGACACAUAAGUGCUCCUGAAACCUUUGCCCGGAGCUUAGCAGCUGUGCUUGCUGGGACCACAGAAGCCGUCUUGACCCCUUUUGAGCGUGUGCAGACACUUCUGCAGGACUACAAACAUCAUGACAAAUUUACAAAUACCUACCAAGCAUUCAGAGUUCUCCGAGAGCAUGGAGCCAGGGAAUAUUACCGGGGCUUGGUGCCAAUCCUACUUCGGAACGGUCCUAGCAAUGUUCUCUUUUUUGGCCUGCGAGGACCCAUCAAGCAGUGCCUGCCAGAAGCAACAACUUACAGUACUCACCUGAUCAAUGAUUUUAUAUGUGGAGGGGUAUUGGGUGCUAUGUUGGGGUUUAUGUUUUUCCCUGUGAAUGUUGUAAAAGCCCGCAUGCAGUCACAGAUUGGUGGGGAAUUCCAGUCUUUUUCCACAGUCUUUAUGAAGAUUUGGCUGGAGCGUGACAGGAAACUGACGCAUCUCUUCCGAGGGGCCCAUCUAAAUUAUCACCGGUCCCUAAUUUCUUGGGGAAUAAUUAAUGCAACUUAUGAAUUCUUGCUUAAAUUACUAUAAUUGGUUACUCAUUUUCUCUCUUCAAUUGAGCAUCGGACAAUCCUGAGCUGUCAGUUUCCAGGAUAUAGUGAGAAAACACUCGCAAGUAUCUCUGACUCCAUAACGUUUGAGAAACUAAACUGCCAACAAAUGGUAGUUUCAGUUGGUAUGGAUAUCAGUUAUUUAAACAGUGCCUGACUAGUUCAAAAUAUAAUUGUAUUCACUCUUGUUCUUGGCCUUCCAAUCUAUGGAUGUGGCAGCUGUAGGACUAAGACAAUUAACUGAGACGUUUCCUGAAAUAUAAAGUCUGUGAGCAUAAUAAAAGCAUAACUAUGAAAAUUUGCUGCAGGUCACCUUCAGCUAUACUAAACCAACACUCCUGGUGAUCCAAAGAAUGCACUUCGUAGAAAAUAGCAGAGCAAAAAACCUGAUAUUUAAUUUGUUGCUUGACCAUUUGUAACAAAUGGUAGCAUUUUUGUAAUAAGUGGACCUUGAGUUUCCAUGAAGCUUCAUGUCCCCCCUCUUGUUUUUUUUUAUUAUGAUGAUGAAUAUUAUUGUACUUUGAAAAGAGACUGCCAAAUGUAGAAGAGAAAACUCUUGUCCUAAAACAGGUUCCAAGUAGUUUUGGAGCAGUAGUGAUGCAAAUGGCAUCUUGCCAAAAUUAAUAUUAAAUUUUAGAAACUGUUGGAUAGAUCUCUACUGUUAAAUAGUGGGUGUUGACUGUGGAGGAAAGAGUGAGAAAAGCACUGAAAAGCUUUAAAAUAUUCAUCUUGCACUGUCACUGAAUUUUUCAAUGUUAAUUAGUGUUUAAAUUAUUAUUUUUGGUGAAAUAUUCUAAUCUGGGGUUGUGGUUUCUUUUACACACAUACACACGCACACUAGACACCCUUUUCAGGUUUAGAAAUUUUGAUACAAAUCACAAUUGGUGCAAACCAAAAGUAAACAAGAUAAAAUUCCAGGUACUAUUUAGUGGUACAGUACAACUGAUUAACACAACUCUGCAGAAUUUUUGCAUACCAAAAUGAAAUGUUUAUUGCCAUUUUUCACGGUAUUUUAAUCUGUUGAAAAAAUUACAAAGUUUUUCACACCACUCAGGAGUGUUCACGUGGAAGAUACACGAGUUUGCAAAAGGCUAGCUUGCCCUUUGCUUUUCCUUUCAUGUAGAUUCGUCUUCAUACAAGAAAAACUGGCAUAAGAGAUUCAUCCACUUUUAAUUAGUGACAAAAUUGCCUAAAUCCCUUCUUUAUAUAUAGCCUGUCCAUUCACAGUCUAUGAACUUGUGUGAAGGACCAUGCAUAUAUUAAAAAAGAAGGGACAAAAAAAGUCUCUGCAAAUAUUACACAGGGCGUCUGUGAAUUUUUAAUCAUGCCAACAAACAUACAUGUGUACAAAAUAGUAAGCAACGGUUGGGUUAGCAAGAGGAAAUUCAGCCAAAAUAAUCAUUUUGGGUGGGAGAUUUUGUGCAAAUAGGCGGUAAUACUUCCUAUUUAUGAUUUACAGGAAAGCUCUCCCAAACUGUUGAUUAUUCUCCAAGUGUUAGAAUUAUUUUCUUAAAAUUUAGAUAACAGUAGGUUUGAGAUGGUAGGGAUUUUACUUUAUUUUGCCUAUUGUCCCUCCCCCUACAAGAGUGCCCCAAAUCAAAUAUUAAUUGAUCUUCUAGAUUUCUUGAUGCUUAGGAUACUUAGCUUCACAGUUGGAUUGCCAAGCACAAAUGAAAGAAUGCUUACUAUUUUGAAUGUUGUAAUUAUAUAUAAAUAUAUAUAUGUAUAUAUAUAUAUUAUAAACAAAAUGUCUGUUGAGAAACAGUGUGCCAGAGGGAUUUUUUUUUUUUCUGGUAACUUCCUUUGGUGGAAUAAAUACAAGUAAAUCCAGUUUCCUGAAAUGAAUGUUCUGUAAUAGUGUUUUGUUUUUCCCUGAACAUAAAGUCAGAGAAUAUUUGUAGGUAUGCCCUAGUCAUUGUCUGCCCACUAUGUAUGGCUGGGAUCUCAGGCCAGUCUUCCCACCCAGCCCAACAGAACAACCUUUAGUGAAACUGCAAAGAAUAUGAGGUCAUAUUUAAAAAUAGUAGGGUUACAAGAGCAGUAUUUAAAAAAAAACCUGGAUCAAUGGGGAAAGAAGGUUCAACUACCCCCAUCCUAUGACUAUUAUGAUUCUAGUGGGGAGAUGUGGUUGAAUGAAUGGUGAUGUGUGUGUUUUGGCUGUGUAUGUGUAAUUUCAGUUCUGCCCAUUCAUGCAACCAUCCAAAACAUUCUGUGGAGACCAGUGAACUUCUAUGAGGAGAAAAAAAGUACUUUCCUCUGCCCUAACAAUAAUCUUUAAUUCUUAAAUCAGGUCAAAGGAAAAUGAUGUCUUUUCAUUAGUGGCAGAUUUUUCUGUAUCUUGUCCAGGGAGGCUGUGGAGAUAAUGUAACUUAACUUUGCAUAUAGAAUUUUAUUUUUUUAACCUGUAAAAUUACAGGAAGUCCUAAACAAAUCCUGCCCAGUGUUGAGUGUUGAUAUUGCCUUGUUUCUUAAUCUUACUUUGGAUAUAUCUGCUGUCUUACGGCUAGCAGAUAUUAUAGUCAAGUUGCAUGUAAAACUGAGGCAAGUUUCUUUGUUAAAAAAAA